rnacentral:lncRNA from 1 species
CUACUACUGGGAGGUGAAAAAGCAGGUUUCAGCAUUAAGGCUGUUGGACACAUUAAAGAGCAAUCUACACUCACAGCUCAGUAUUUAAGGCAUAUGCAGAACUUCAGCAUUAAUUACAUAUUUUAAACUCGGUUUACUUUGCCUGUAGUGAUGAACUACUGUGAUAGUUUGAUUUUUAUGAUUUGUAUGAAGCAGGAAGCUUUCAAAGCCAUGUGUCAAAGAGGAAAUAGAGCAAAGAUACACCACAGCAGAGAAAGCUAGCAGGACAAAGGAGAUACUAUUGACUCAUUCCAGACUGCCGACUUAGCAGCUCAACUUUGUUUCUUUUUAACUUUUGUAACAGUAGGAGCUCAAAGCCUCUCAGUCUAUUUUUUCCACAAAUAGAAACACCCUG